ACACACACACACACACACACACACACACACACACACACACACACACACACACACACACACAGACAAAAAACCAAACAGCAGCAAGUGUUACUGUAGGAAAAUCGUUCCAGUCAUCAUAAUGUGAACUGAAAGUACAAGCCCAAAGGUGAAGCCUGAAUUAAUGUCUACUGUUCACAUUUUAUAAUAUAAAAGUAUAAAUAAGGCAGCAGUUAUUUGAUAACUGAAAUGAGAGCACUGCAGUGUUUUGAGUUACCUUGUCCAGGUAGCCCAGGUGAUUCUGUCUAUGACUGUCUGCUCUGUGACCUGCUUUCCAGAAGGCACUUCAUAAACCAGCCGUUUAUAAGCACCAGUGGACAACUACGGCAAACAGGAAAAAGAAUAUAUGAGCUCAAGUCUAACCUGAUAUCCUGGAUGGCAGUGCGGCGAUCUCUCUUUUUGCCCCAGAUCUUCAGGGACGUCACAAGGAGGAUAAUGAACUCUCCAUUCUUCAUGCCGAUUGCCACCAUAUCACCGUCAGGACUAUAGCUGACAGAAUGUCCCAGAGGCGUACUGUGCCGUCCUCAGCAGCAGAGAGAAAGACGUCUCGGGUAGGGUGAGCUCCCAGUCCCCAGAUGGGGCCGUCCAUGUGGCCAUUCACCAGGAUGUUACAUGCUGCAUUCUUCUCCCCUA